rnacentral:rRNA from 1 species
GACGAACGCUGGCGGCGUGCCUAAUACAUGCAAGUAGAACGCUGAAGAGAGGAGCUUGCUCUUCUUGGAUGAGUUGCGAACGGGUGAGUAACGCGUAGGUAACCUGCCUGGUAGCGGGGGAUAACUAUUGGAAACGAUAGCUAAUACCGCAUAAAAUGGAUUAUCGCAUGAUAAUCCAUUGAAAGGUGCAAAUGCAUCACUACCAGAUGGACCUGCGUUGUAUUAGCUAGUUGGUGGGGUAACGGCUCACCAAGGCGACGAUACAUAGCCGACCUGAGAGGGUGAUCGGCCACACUGGGACUGAGACACGGCCCAGACUCCUACGGGAGGCAGCAGUAGGGAAUCUUCGGCAAUAGACGGAAGUCUGACCGAGCAACGCCGCGUGAGUGAAGAAGGUUUUCGGAUCGUAAAGCUCGGUUGUAAGAGAAGAACGAGUGUGAGAGUGGAAAGUUCACACUGUGACGGUAUCUUACCAGAAAGGGACGGCUAACUACGUG